CCCCUCAGAAAACUGCCGUUUCCGCUCGACUGUUAAUCGAGCGGCCGUAGGUUCGAAUCCUACUCAGGGAGCCA
rnacentral:tRNA from 1 species